rnacentral:rRNA from 1 species
AUCCCAACCCAUGUGAACAUACCUACUGUUGCUUCGGCGGGAUUGCCCCGGGCGCCUCGUGCGCCCCGGAUCAGGCGCCCGCCUAGGAAACUUAACUCUUGUUUUAUUUUGGAAUCUUCUGAGUAGUUUUUACAAAUAAAUAAAAACUUUCAACAACGGAUCUCUUGGUUCUGGCAUCGAUGAAGAACGCAGCGAAAUGCGAUAAGUAAUGUGAAUUGCAGAAUUCAGUGAAUCAUCGAAUCUUUGAACGCACAUUGCGCCCGCCAGUAUUCUGGCGGGCAUGCCUGUCUGAGCGUCAUUUCAACCCUCAUGCCCCUAGGGCGUGGUGUUGGGGAUCGGCCAAAGCCCGCGAGGGACGGCCGGCCCCUAAAUCUAGUGGCGGACCCGUCGUGGCCUCCUCUGCGAAGUAGUAAUAUUCCGCAUCGGACAGCGACGAGCCCCUGCCGUUAAACCCCCAACUUUCCAAGGUUGACCUCAGAUCAGGUAGGAAUACCCGCUGAACUUAAGCAUAUCAAUAAGCGGAGGA